CUGUGUCUGUGUAUAUCUUUGUGUGUGUGUGUGUGUGUGUGUGCGUAUGUGUGUGUGUGUGUUAUUAAGUCCAAAUACCGUUCCACCAUGACUGAUGAUCAUUUGGAAGUGUGCCUGAGGCUGACUAUCAGCAGCUACUGUCUGGACUAUGCAUCCCUGGCUGAUUCCAUUCGGUGCAGGUCAGAGUGAGCUGAUGACAAUAAAAUGUACAGAGUUGUAUUGUGAAAUAUGGGUUCAUGCAGCUAUGCAAGGUACACCAACUUAUAUUGUACAUAGAAAGAAGUCUCCAUACAUUUAUAAAUAAAUAUUUUUAUAGUAGGUAGACCAUUUUGACUUGGUCAUUUUAAAAGUAGCUCGCAAGCUGAUAAAGUGUGGUCACCCCUGGUCUACGCCAACCCUCAUCAGCAGCUGCUCCUUUUCUGUUGUUAUCAAACAUGACUUCUUUAUCUCAUUAUUAGAGGAAACUUUGCAGCAUCAGCUCUCUAUCCAGUAAUCAAUGUCCUUUACAUGACCCUAAACCACGGAGGCUUACGUGUCUUCAUACACAUAUUUUUCAGAGUGGAGAGAGAGGUGGGGUUGUGUGUGUGUGUCUGUGUACGUCUGUUUGUGUGUGUGUAGUGUGUGUGCAAGUCCAAGUUGAGACACGAGUCCAGAGAAUAGCGACUUUUCUUUCCUCCAUGAGUUUGAACAUUAUAUACAUUUCAUUUCUGCCAUCCCAUAAACAAACAGGCUUUGACAACUCUCAUCAUAUGGACCUCUCUACUCCUCACUGGAUUUAUUACAUUUAAAAAAUGAGUUUACAGACGGAGGGCCCCGACAGGGACAGUGGGGGGGGGGGCGGGCGUCCCCUGCCUCUGCUCUGCCAUUGGACACUGCUACGGAUGCGUUGAGUCGGGGUCAGAGGACUCUGUACAGGUGGAUCUGUUGCAGAGCGUCGGCGUCCGUGUCUCUGUCCACGUAAACA